CAAAGGAGGCGACUCCGGAGACGGAUGGGCAUGCGUGACAUUAGCUUGUUGGCGGGGUAACGGCCCACCAAGGCGACGAUGUCUAGGGGUUCUGAGAGGAAGGUCCCCCACACUGGUACUGAGACACGGACCAGACUCCUACGGGAGGCAGCAGUGAGGAAUAUUGGUCAAUGGGCGAGAGCCUGAACCAGCCAAGUCGCGUGAAGGAUGACGGCCCUACGGGUUGUAAACUUCUUUUGUCAGGGAGCAAUUGAGUCCACGUGUGGGCUUAGCGAGAGUACCUGAAGAAAAAGCAUCGGCUAACUCCGUGCCAGCAGCCGCGGUAAUACGGAGGAUGCGAGCGUUAUCCGGAUUUAUUGGGUUUAAAGGGUGCGUAGGCGGAAUAUCAAGUCAGCGGUAAAAAUUCGGGGCUCAACCCCGUCGUGCCGUUGAAACUGAUGUUCUUGAGUGGGCGAGAAGUAUGCGGAAUGCGUGGUGUAGCGGUGAAAUGCAUAGAUAUCACGCAGAACUCCGAUUGCGAAGGCAGCAUACCGGCGCCCAACUGACGCUGAAGCACGAAAGCGUGGGUAUCGAACAGGAUUAGAUACCCUGGUAGUCCACGCAGUAAACGAUGAAUGCUAAUUGUCCGGAGGGAUUGACCUCUGGGUGAU
rnacentral:rRNA from 1 species